CUCAGAGUCGAGCAGAAGAUUUUCCUUUUUUCCCUUGGGAUCCUCAGUGAUGUGGAACUUGAGGUUCUGUUAAAAUAGAGAAGGAGAAAUGUUGAAAGCGCAUUCACAAACCUCUUGCAAUGACUGCAGAAGGGAAUACAUGGAAGACAGGACUUACAAGAUGGAAUCCUCUCCUAGAGAUAAAAUUGUAAGGACUUUGGCUUUUACUGUGGGUAAACUAGGGGGACUUUGAAGGGCUUUCAGCAGGGAAGUAACAUGAUCUCACUUACACUUGAAAAGGAUGGUUGAGGAGAAGACUGGCCUGGAAAUAUACAUACAGAAUCGUCAGCAUGUUAUUGGAAAAACCAAUCAACAAAUGGUGUGCUGUGGGAAUAAUAAAUGGGGCCACCAGGCUAGUGUUGGAAGAAGUGGUGGGAGAAGUUCCCUAGAGGAGGAUAUCUAUCUAUCUAUCUAUCUAUCUGACAUCCAUCCAUCCAUCCAUCCAUCCACUGUAUCCCCAGUGUCUAGAAUGGCCUGGAGCCUAUAGUAAUUGCUCUCACAUAUUUAUUGAGUGAACAAAUGAAUAAAUGGAAUGAAAUCUUCCAAGUUGAUUAGUAAUAUUCUAGCAAAUUGAGCAAAAGAGCAGAGAAAUAGUUUGCACUGUGGAUGGAAGCCACCUCAAAGCAUCAUGGUCCUUCUACUAGCUAGGCUUUAAGUGGUGUGGGGGUGGGAAUUGCUUCUUUCUAGUGCAAGAAGAUUGUGUGAGUAACCCCUGAUCACCAUACACCAACUUGGGUAGCCCCAUAAAACAGCUGCCCAAAUCUUCCAUAGCAUUGAGCCAACUGUUUGGUGUUUCAAGUCUAAAACCAUUUGUCUUCUGUCAUACUGGAGACUGCCAGGAUGACUUCAAAGCCCUGAAUCCAUCUUUACUCUGAUCAAUUACCUGUAGUCCAUUAAAUUUUCACAGAUGAUCUGAAAUUUGACUUGAGCUUUGGAAGAUCAUGGGGUUAUUGGUUGACUGCAUGGGAAGUACUUAGUACAGGCCUGAAAUAAAAUUGCCAAUAUAUUUUUGCAGCUACUUUUUCUACUAUUACAACUGUAAAUAAUAAUUGCUAUUAUUAAUAUUUUAUAGUGUAGUAACAAUGUUUUAUCCCAUUGACCUAGUGAAUUUCAAGGUUCCCCAGUUGUCCAUUAUUAUCCAGACUAUAAUUUGUGUGUCUCUAGAUGUACCUUAAUUAGUUCUCUCCCUGCCCCAUUGACAAGAACAAAAACAAAAUCAGCUUUCCACUGUGCCCUCUGGACCUUCUGUUUGUGGUCAUCAAAUUCCCCUUUAAACUCUGGAGACUUCUGGAAUGUUUGUUUCCCAGGACUUUCUCUACAUGGAACCUGGCUGGCCCCCAAGAUUCUGCUGCCCUUGCACUUUCUCAAGUAGACAAAACUUUAUUUCCUUGAACCACUUGUCCCUCCAGCCAGAAGUCAGGGCACUAUUUCCCUGCAAUUCACUGCUGCUUCCAGGACAUGUCCCUUGGCAAAAGCUUCUGCUUCUGUCAAGCACACGUGUCCUACUGAGCCUCCCUUCUCCCUCCUCAUGCUGUCGUCUGCCUGUACCCUUGUCCUUUGUUUCAUGCACUGAAGACUUUAGCUUCUAGCUCAGACUUUGCUUCUCAUACCCCUUCUUGUCAUUGUGUGUGGUGACUCUGACACCCAAUAAACUCUCAGUUCCUUGACCACCUCGCCUUUAAUAGAGGUGUUAUUCAUUUCUCAUAGACCGUGUCAUCACCAGUGCCUGUGCCACCUCCAUCAUCUCUCUGACCACCAUCCUUUAACCUUCCAGCUCAUUGCAACUUCCAUUUUUUCAGUUCUUUGACCACUUCUCACCAUGUUAUUCAAGCUCUUAGUAGCCAGAAUGCCUGGUUCUUCCAUUUGCUCUUAGAAAGUCACUUCUGCAGGGAGGUUUUCCUGUCCGCCUUGUAUAAAUUAUGUUCUCUUCUGAGAAUCUCUCCCAUGUAAGGUUCCCAAAUAAGAACUCUGCUUACUUUCCUCAUUGCAUUUAUUGCAAUGCGGAGUGAUUUUAUUUACUUACUUCUGUGUUGUCUCCCCCCCACCCCCCGCCCCACUCCCAUGUCUUGCACUAGAACAUGACCACAGAGGUCUUAUUUUUUUUGUUCUCUUUUGGAUCUCUGGUAUGCAACAUGUUGCCUGGCACAUAGAAAACAGUCAACCAAUAAUUGUUGAUUAAGUGCAAUUUUUAAAGACCACAGGUGGAUUGUUUAUUUCAAGAUACAGCACAAAAUGAAUCUGUGUAUCUAUUAACAGGAUUUACUUACACAAUUGUACUACAUUUCACCAGCCUUCAUGCCAUAUUUAAUGAAAUAAAAAAAA